UUUUCAGGGAUUGCUAUUUCUCUCUUGGCGCACAUGAAACUAUGAAAUAUAACCUAUCUGACAUAAUUUUCUGGUACACAAUGCUCUUGUCCUUGCUACUCACCUCUGACUCAACUCUAAGCAAUGUCUCAUGUCAACUUAAUUUACAUUAAAGUACUCAAUACAGAACCAAAGAGAGGAUUUCUCAGCUCUGCUUACACCUGAAACACAGUGUAUGAUGAUCUACGCCACAUGUUUAGAAGCAGGGAUAUUUGAUGGGAAAGGGUUGAGGCAAGGGAUUGGCAGAAUUCCCUCCAAAAAGAGUCUCAUGUUAUUAGAAGACAGAUUGGUUAAAUGAAUUAUUAGUAAUGUUCCACCUGGAGAAGAGAAGACUCUGGAAAUAUGACUGUUGUUUUCAAUGAUUUAAAGGGCUAUCACGUGGAAGAAAGAACAGGCCUAUUUAACGAGGUUCUGGGGGGAAUGACGAGGCUGAGGGUAGAAGCUCUGGACACAAUAACCUGAACAACUCAAUUCAGAAAUCUAGGUUGUCCUAGUCAAUGGUGAAUUUCCAGCACUGGAAAAGAUAAUUUUCCAGGAUUAAAUUAAAUUGAUAAAUCAUAUGCCUUGCUCAAAACAGGGUACACAGAAGUUAUUCAACAAAUGUUCAUUAUCACAUAAUUAAUAAUUAUAAUUGCUUUUAGGCAUGGGAUUUUAUAAAAGACUAAUAUGUUCCUUUAGAUCUUUGAGAUUCUAAUGAUUUGCUGGAUAGUUUGAAGACUUAUCAUCACUGACUUACCCUUAGGUUCACAUAUUAUCUACUGUGAAUUCUAGAAAUCUUCUAGGAUGUUUUUAUUUUGAUAUUUAUAUUAGUAUCAAGAUUUGUUCUAUAUUAACACAUCAAUUAUUUGACUAUUUAUGAAGUCUUUAUCCCCAUCCCAGAGUGAUGUAAAUUGAUGGUAUCUAAUAAAGUUACAAAUUCCUUCCUAAACAAACAAAAACAAACCAAAAACCCCCAAACACAAAAAACCCCAAGAAAACCAAAUCAGCCAUUAGAUGUCUACGAAACUCCUCCCCCCAAAACAACAACUUUUUGUUUUAAGAAUAAACUUUGAAAUUUUAAUAUAAAAAGAGAGUAGCCAGUUUUCGGGUAGGUUAGGUGAAGGCUGGAAGGAAUCUAAACUCUGGCUUGACUAAUAGAGAUGAAGCAAUCAGGCUGAGCUGAGGAACAAAUAUUGGGAGACGUUUCCAGCAUGUGGGCAAAGCACGGUGCUCAGGAAAUCUGGAAAUAAGCAAGAGGUCUAGAAAUAUUGUUAGCAGUAUCAGAGGUACGUACUUUGUUUAGCAUGCAGCCAGGAUUAUAAGAGCAUUUGAUAAAUGUUGAUAGGUUGAAUAAAUGAAUGAAUGAAAGAACCUCUGCAAAUUGGCAGUAGGAGGUCCUUGCUAUGGGCAUCAGGUCUUCUUGGUGAGGCUGUAGUCCCAUAAGAACAGAACUAUAGGCUGGGAAGGAUGGCAGGGAGCAACUACUGGGCUGGAACAGCAACAGAGAGUAAAAUCAGGACAACUGUCUCUGUACCAAGGAGAAAGUAUUUCAAAUCCAUAGAUGCUUGUGCUUCUGCCUAAGAGUGAGGAAAAAAGGGAGGCAGAACUAAGCUGAGGGACACAUGGGCAGGAGCUGUCCCUGUUGCGAGAGGUAAUGAAAUGGUAGGCCACAUACAAAUAGAAGGGAGAUGCUAACAAAAUGGUGUUGAUACCAUGAAAAUAUUAAAAGGAUUAUUAUCCAUGAUUAUCCCCUAACUGCAGUUAAGAGCAAUUUUCGACAGAGUUUGAAACUUAGACCAGCAGAUAUUUGCAUCAAAGUUUUUCACUGGAACUUUUAUACCUCAUCCUCAUUUAUACCUUAAAAGAUAGUUUAUUUUCAAGUAUUCACUGGGCUGUGCAGAAAACAGCCUCUGAACUAAUCCUAAUCCUAUCUCAGGAAAUCUUGGAGAAAUGUGUCAAAAUAAAAGCAAAGCAGAAGUUGAACAUAUUCCAUAUCUGUAGUUGUUUGGCCCCCAAAGAACUCACACAGUUUAUAAAGUGGGGGAAAAUGGAGCUCGGGCUGUCACAGAUCUGCCAGCCUCUCAGCAGACCCUGUGGUCCCCUCUGUCUCCAAGCAGAGAGAAGUGCUGAGGCAAUGUGGGUGCAGAAUGAGAAUAAACAGAUCUCACACACCUUCACCCCUUCUGACUUCAAUUUAAUUUGUAUUUCUUUCCUUCUGAGAGCAGGAGUAGGUCAAGGAGAGCCAGAUUUAAAGCUAGAGUAGAUUUAUUUCGACCCAAGUUGGCCCCAAAUGGUCUUUGCUAGUAUGAAGUUUUGCCUUACUCUGCCAUUUAUCAACCAGAAAGAGUAUUGUUUUAGCUGUGUUUUGGGAGUGUGAGAAAGCUUGGAGGUGGGGGUCCCUAAUUAUCUUAUUUAACUAGGCUUCCUUUCCAUCAUGCUCUAUCACUUUACUUUGAUAUUACCUGAAAUUGAAUUAUUUAUCUCUUUUUCUCCUUUUUUAGCCCAAUAGUAUGUAAGCUCCAUGAAAGGAGGGAUGAGGCCAGGAUGCUGCUAAACAUUGUAUUAUUUGCCCAAAAUGUCAAUGUGCCUAGGCUGAGAAUCCCUGGUCCAGGCUCUAUCUCCAGUUCUUAGAACAAUGCCUGGAAACUGGUAGGUGAUCAAUUAAGUACUUCUAAAAAUAUGAAUAAACAUCAAGGAAAACUGUUCAAGCCAAGUUUUCCACAUAAAGGAAUAAACUUUUUGUUUUCACCACGGGCAUGAGUACCAUAUUUUUGUAUACUUACCAACUGUCAACGUAAUACUUAUGAAUUAAGGUGAUGGUGGAGUGUUCCCAUCAAGAACAUAGAAGUGUAGGAACUAAGAUGUUUUUUUGAGACUCACAGACAUAGAGAAUGGACUUGUGGUUGACAAGGGGCAGGGGUGCCGGGAGGGUUGGAUUGGCAGGUACAGACCACUAUAGAUAGAAUGGAUAAACAACAACGUCCUAUCGUAUAGCAUGGGGAUCUAUAUUCAAUAUCCUGUAAUAUACCAUAAUGGCAAAGAAGAGAAAAGAUGUCCUCUGAGAAUUAAAAUAUAAAUCAAUGCAAUGGAGCCAAAGCAUGUGAGGUGUCCUUGAAGAUAAGCAAUGGUGCCCAGGCAAUUUUCAUUUAAGUGGCAGUGUAGAGUACCGUGUAAACAUAUGAUUUCUGGAGUUACAAUGACUAAAUUCCAAUCUCAGCUUCACCACUUUCCAG
rnacentral:lncRNA from 1 species